AUUGAACGCUGGCGGCAUGCUUUACACAUGCAAGUCGAACGGGGUGAGGAGCUUGCUCCUCAUCUAGUGGCGAACGGGUGAGUAAUACAUCGGAACGUACCGUGUAGUGGGGGAUAACUACCGCCGAAAGGUAGGGUAUACCGCAUACGAUCCACGGAUGAAAACCAGGGGACCUUCGGGCCUUGUGCUAUACGAGCGGCCGAUGUUUGAUUAGCUAGUUGGUGAGGUAAAGGCUCACCAAGGCAACGAUCAGUAGCGGGUUUGAGAGGAUGAUCCGCCACACUGGGACUGAGACACGGCCCCGACUCCUACGGGAGGCAGCAGUGGGGAAUUUUGGACAAUGGGGGCAACCCUGAUCCAGCCAUGCCGCGUGUUUGAAGAAGGCCUUCGGGUUGUAAAGGACUUUUGUCAGGGAGCAAAUCCUAACAGCUAAUAUUUGUUGGGGAUGAGAGUACCUGAAGAAUAAGCACCGGCUAACUACGUG
rnacentral:rRNA from 1 species